rnacentral:snoRNA from 1 species
CUGUGAAUAUUCUUGCUAAUCUGAUUUUGUAAUAGUCAAGGCAGGCUAAACAUUCACUAUAUUAAGACCAUGCAUGUGUCCCCAGACCUAGUUCUUUCCCUAGGUCUAGUUUUUUAUAAAUGUUGGUGAUCAAC